rnacentral:rRNA from 1 species
GAUCCUGGCUCAGGAUGAACGCUAGCUACAGGCUAACACAUGCAAGUCGAGGGGCAGCAGGAAUCUAGCUUGCUAGAUUGCUGGCGACCGGCGCACGGGUGCGUAACACGUAUCCAAUCUACCCAUUGCUCAGGGAUAGCCUUGCGAAAGUAAGAUUAAUACCUGAUGGUCUCACGCCUCCGCAUGGUGGUGUGAGUAAAGAUUCAUCGGCGAUGGAUGAGGAUGCGUACGAUUAGGUAGUCGGCGGGGUAACGGCCCACCGAGCCUGCGAUCGUUAGGGGUUCUGAGAGGGAGGUCCCCCACACUGGAACUGAGACACGGUCCAGACUCCUACGGGAGGCAGCAGUGAGGAAUAUUGGUCAAUGGUCGAGAGACUGAACCAGACCCAAGUAGCGUGAGGGACGACUGCCCUAUGGGUUGUAAACCUCUUUUGUUUGGGAAUAAAGUGCCGUACGUGUACGGUUUUGUAUGUACCUUACGAAUAAGCAUCGGCUAAUUCCGUGCCAGCCGCCGC